GGGCGGGGGCACGGGGGGACCUACGGGAGGCAGCAGUGGGGAAUUUUCCGCAAUGGGCGAAAGCCUGACGGAGCAAGACCGCGUGGGGGAAGAAGGCUCUUGGGUUGUAAACCCCUUUUCUCUGGGAAGAACACAAUGACGGUACCAGAGGAAUCAGCAUCGGCUAACUCCGUGCCAGCAGCCGCGGUAAGACGGAGGAUGCAAGCGUUAUCCGGAAUGAUUGGGCGUAAAGCGUCCGCAGGUGGCAGUUCAAGUCUGCUGUCAAAGACCGGGGCUUAACCUCGGAAAGGCAGUGGAAACUGAACAGCUAGAGUAUGGUAGGGGCAAAGGGAAUUCCUGGUGUAGCGGUGAAAUGCGUAGAGAUCAGGAAGAACAUCGGUGGCGAAGGCGCUUUGCUGGACCAUAACUGACACUCAGGGACGAAAGCUAGGGGAGCGAAUGGGAUUAGAUACCCCAGUAGUCCUAGCCGUAAACGAUGGAUACUAGGUGUUGUCUGUAUCGACCCGGACAGUGCCGUAGCUAACGCGUUAAGUAUCCCGCCUGGGGAGUACGCACGCAAGUGUGAAACUCAAAGGAAUUGACGG
rnacentral:rRNA from 1 species